rnacentral:rRNA from 1 species
AACGUAGGAGACAAACGUUAUCCGGAGUUACUGGGCGUAAAGGGCGUGUAGGCGGUCUGUUAAGUCUGGCGUGAAAGCUCUCGGCUAAACCGGGAGAGGUCGUUGGAUACUGGCAGACUAGAGGACGGUAGAGGCGUGUGGAAUUCCGGGUGUAGUGGUGAAAUGCGUAGAGAUCCGGAGGAACACCAGUGGAGAAGGCGACACGCUGGGCCGGACCUGACGCUAAAGCGCGACAGCAUGGGGAGCAAACGGG